UAGGGAAUCUUCGGCAAUGGGGGCAACCCUGACCGAGCAACGCCGCGUGAGUGAAGAAGGUUUUCGGAUCGUAAAGCUCUGUUGUAAGAGAAGAACGUGUGUGAGAGUGGAAAGUUCACACAGUGACGGUAACUUACCAGAAAGGGACGGCUAACUACGUGCCAGCAGCCGCGGUAAUACGUAGGUCCCGAGCGUUGUCCGGACUUAUUGGGCGUAAAGCGAGCGCAGGCGGUUUAAUAAGUCUGAAGUUAAAGGCAGUGGCUUAACCAUUGUUCGCUUUGGAAACUGUUAAACUUGAGUGCAGAAGGGGAGAGUGGAAUUCCAUGUGUAGCGGUGAAAUGCGUAGAUAUAUGGAGGAACACCGGUGGCGAAAGCGGCUCUCUGGUCUGUAACUGACGCUGAGGCUCGAAAGCGUGGGGAGCAAACAGG
rnacentral:rRNA from 1 species